UGGGGAAUUUUGCACAAUGGGGGAAACCCUGAUGCAGCGACGCCGCGUGAUUUAGAAGGCCUUCGGGUUGUAAAAAUCUUUUUUACGGGAUGAAAAUGACAGUACCGUAAGAAUAAGGUCCGGCUAAAUACGUGCCAGCAGCCGCGGUAAUACGUAUGGACCGAGCGUUGUCCGGAAUCAUUGGGCGUAAAGGGUACGUAGGCGGGUAAGCAAGUUAGAAGUGAAAUCCUAUAGCUCAACUAUAGUAAGCUUUUAAAACUGCUCAUCUUGAGGUAUGGAAGGGAAAGUGGAAUUCCUAGUGUAGCGGUGAAAUGCGCAGAUAUUAGGAGGAAUACCGGUGGCGAAGGCGACUUUCUGGCCAUAACCUGACGCUGAGGCUCGAAAGCGUGGGUAGCAAACAGG
rnacentral:rRNA from 1 species